rnacentral:rRNA from 1 species
UACGGGGGGAGCAAGCGUUGUUCGGAUUUACUGGGCGUAAAGGGCGCGUAGGCGGCCAGCACAAGUCAGUUGUGAAAUCUCCGAGCUUAACUCGGAACGGUCAACUGAUACUGUGCGGCUAGAGUGCAGAAGGGGCAACUGGAAUUCUUGGUGUAGCGGUGAAAUGCGUAGAUAUCAAGAGGAACACCUGCGGCGAAGGCGGGUUGCUGGCUGACACUGACGCUGAGGCGCGAAAGCUAGGGGAGCGAACGGG